rnacentral:rRNA from 1 species
UCGGGAAUUUUGGGCAAUGGGCGAAAGCCUGACCCAGCAACGCCGCGUGAAGGAUGAAGUAUUUCGGUAUGUAAACUUCGAAAGAAUAGGAAGAAUAAAUGACGGUACUAUUUAUAAGGUCCGGCUAACUACGUGCCAGCAGCCGCGGUAAUACGUAGGGACCAAGCGUUGUUCGGAUUUACUGGGCGUAAAGGGCGCGUAGGCGGCAAUUCAAGUCAUCUGUGAAAUCUCCGGGCUUAACUCGGAACGGUCAGAUGAUACUGCUUUGCUAGAGUGCAGAAGGGGCAAUCGGAAUUCUUGGUGUAGCGGUGAAAUGCGUAGAUAUCAAGAGGAACACCUGAGGUGAAGACGGGUUGCUGGGCUGACACUGACGCUGAGACGCGAAAGCGUGGGGAGCAAACAGGAUUAGAUACCCCCGUAGUCCCUGAGCGGGCUGGCAAGGCGCAU